rnacentral:rRNA from 1 species
AGUCGAACGGCAGCGGACCUUCGGGUGCCGGCGAGUGGCGAACGGGUGAGUAAUAUAUCGGAACGUACCUUUCAGUGGGGGAUAACGUAGCGAAAGUUACGCUAAUACCGCAUAUUCUGUGAGCAGGAAAGCAGGGGACCUUCGGGCCUUGCGCUGAUUGAGCGGCCGAUAUCAGAUUAGCUAGUUGGUGAGGUAAAGGCUCACCAAGGCGACGAUCUGUAGCGGGUCUGAGAGGAUGAUCCGCCACACUGGAACUGAGACACGGUCCAGACUCCUACGGGAGGCAGCAGUGGGGAAUUUUGGACAAUGGGCGCAAGCCUGAUCCAGCCAUGCCGCGUGAGUGAAGAAGGCCUUCGGGUUGUAAAGCUCUUUCGGCCGGGAAGAAAUCGUAUAGGUUAAUACCCUGUGCGGAUGACGGUACCGGCAUAAGAAGCACCGGCUAAUACG